GUGGAUUAGAUACCCUAGUAGUCCACGCCUUAAACGAUGAGAGCUAGUUGUCAGUAAGCAUGCUUAUUGGUGACGCAGCUAACGCAUUAAGCUCUCCGCCUGGGGAGUACGGCCGCAAGGUUAAAACUCAAAGAAAUUGACGGGGGCCCGCACAAGCGGUGGAGCAUGUGGUUUAAUUCGAAGCAACGCGCAGAACCUUACCCACCUUUGACAUCCCGUGCUACCUAGAGAGAUCUAGGGUCCCUUCGGGGCGCGGAGACAGGUGCUGCACGGCCGUCGCCAACU
rnacentral:rRNA from 1 species